rnacentral:other from 1 species
GGCCGACAAGCGACAUAUCGUGGUGGGAUCUGUAUCAGCAGUCGCUUCCGUUGAACGGUUGCCGCCGAGCCGCUCACUUUUGUUUCUCUCUAAGUAACGAGGUUUAUGGUUGUGAAUACUGGUGUCGUGAAGUGGUUCAACGAAAGCAAGGGUUUCGGGUUCAUCACUCCUGAUGAUGGCGGCAAGGACGUCUUUGUCCACUUCUCCGCAAUCGAUGGAAGCGGGUUCAAGACCCUGGCCGAAGGUCAGAAGGUGUCUUUCGAAAUUCAGCAGACCCCGAAGGGCCUGGCCGCCGGCGCGGUGAAGGCGAUCUGACGGUACUGCAGGAUCCGGGGCAACCCCGGAUCCAUCGAGCCGCCUCGGCAGGGGCGGCUUUUUUU